GUCUUUUUGUAAUUUAUAUAAAGUCUAACCUGCCCAUUGAUUAAUUUAAAAGGCUGCGGUAUUUUGACCGUACAAAGGUAGCAUAAUCAUUAGUUUUUUAAUUGAAAACUGGUAUGAAUGGUUGAAUGAAAAAUUAACUUUUUUAGAUAAAAUAUUGAAUUUUACUUUUUAAUUAAAAGGUUAAAAUAAAUUUAAAAGACGAGAAGACCCUAUAGAGUUUUAUAAUUUAUUAUAUAUUUUUAAAAAAGAUUAAAUAAAUUUUUAUAAAAUAAAUUAUUUUGUUGGGGUGAUAUUAAAAUUUAAAUAACUUUUAAAAAUUAUACCAUUAAUAUAUGAAUAAAUGAUCCAUUAUUAAUGAUUAAAAAUUUAAAUUACCUUAGGGAUAACAGCGUAAUUUUUUUUUAAGUUCUUAUUAAUAAAAAAUUUUGCGACCUCGAUGUUGGAUUAAGAUUUAAUUUUAGGUGCAGCAGUUUAAAUUUUAAGUCUGUUCGACUUUUAAAUUCUU
rnacentral:rRNA from 1 species